CCCGAAACCAGGUGAGCUACCCCGAGACAGCCUAUGUUAAUUUAGGGCUAACCCGUCUCUGUGGCAAAAGAGUGGGAAGAGCUCCGGGUAGAAGUGACAGACCUACCGAACCUGGUGAUAGCUGGUUGCCUGAAAAAUGGAUAGAAGUUCAGCCUCGCACCCCCCGAUCCAACAAAUAUAUCGUCAAGAUGCUCAGAGAGACAUGCGAGAGUUAGUUAAAAGGGGUACAGCCCUUUUAACAAAGGAUACAACCUUCACAGGAGGAUAAAGAUCAUAAUAUAUAAGAUAUACUGUUCUAGUGGGCCUGAAAGCAGCCACCUAAGCAGAAAGCGUUAAAGCUCGGACAGAGAGAAGUUUAUUAUACUGAUAAGAAAUCUUAUUCCCCUAACUGUAUCAGGCCAACCCAUGCCCCCAUGGAAGAGAUUAUGCUAAAAUGAGUAAUAAGAAGACACGCUCUUCUCCCGGCACACGUGUAAACCAGAUCGGACUGACCACUGGAACUUAACGAACCCAACCCAAGAGGGUAGUGUGAUUAAUAUAAACCUCAAGAAGACCUCACACCAACUGAUCGUUAACCCCACACUGGAGUGCUAUUUCAAGGGAAAGACUAAAAGAGGAGGAAGGAACUCGGCAAACACAAGCCUCGCCUGUUUACCAAAAACAUCGCCUCCUGCAACUAGACUGAGUAUAGGAGGUCCAGCCUGCCCAGUGACUACGGGUUCAACGGCCGCGGUAUCUUGACCGUGCAAAGGUAGCGCAAUCACUUGUCUCUUAAAUAGAGACCUGUAUGAAUGGCUAGACGAGGGCUUAACUGUCUCCCCCCUCCAGUCAGUGAAAUUGAUCUAUCCGUGCAGAAGCGGGUAUAAAUGUACAAGACGAGAAGACCCUUUGGAGCUUAAGGUACAAAGUUCAACCACGUUAAACAACCCCAUAAAAGGCAAGAACUUAGUAGCAAUGAAAUUUUACCUUCGGUUGGGGCGACCGCGGAGGAAAAACAAGCCUCCGAGUGGACUGGGCCAAACCCCUGAAGCCAAAAGAAACAUCUAGAAGCCGCAGAAUAUCUGACCAAAAAUGAUCCGGCUAAAAGCCGAUCAACGAACCAAGUUACCCAAGGGAUAACAGCGCAAUCCCCUCCCAGAGCCCGUAUCGACGAGGGGGUUUACGACCUCGAUGUUGGAUCAGGACAUCCUAAUGGUGC
rnacentral:rRNA from 1 species